UCUCUCUCUCUCUCUCUCUCUCAACAUAUGGCUGCUUUUGAUUUGGAAUUGCAAAUGUUGGGAAUAGUGUUGGAUAAUGUAGAAUUUAAUUCAAAACAUUUCAUUUUAGAUAACAUGUAAAUUGAAAUGGAAGUCUUCUUCCAAGAAUAGAACACAACAAUGAGCCACACUUGAUAGUUUUUCAAUACAGACGCAUUUUGCCGGAAAACGAGUCUGACUUCAAACCACGAAAUUUUAACAGGAAAGAGACAAUUUUAAUGAGCUUUCAUUCAAGAGGUCCCUCGUUGCUGAACGAAAAUUAGGGCCGGAGCUAUGAACCAUAACGUUAACAUUACCGCCUAUGGAAAAUGCAUUAGUGGACUAUACCCAUGUGAUGGCUCCAAGUUGUUCCUCAUCCAUGGUUGGAAAGUCCAGUGGUUUGGACAGCAGCGAGCUCCAGCAGGGAUGAUGACCUCUUUAGUGAUGAAGAUGUGAUGUCUUACACCUACUGGAAUUACAACCAGCUUUGGACUUUGGCACUUGCACAUGCAGCAUGAAGCAUGUCCUCUAGAUGUGCUGGGAAAUGGGAGAGGAAUGGAUGGAUGACUGAAUGGAGGAGCUUCAGUGGAUUGACAAAAUUAUAAUUUUCCCCUUGUUUCAAUUUGUCAGAUAAACAUUCCCUGUUGUCAAGUUCAUUUCCACAAUAUUGAAUAAAGGUAAUUGUACAUUGUAGUAUAAAGAAAUUCAUUUUCAUUGGUUUUUUAAAAUAGUUAAAAUUUUGGAUCCGCACCUGUAACGGAUUCUAGUUAUUGCCCUUUAUUGAAAAAAAAUAAAUAAACAACAAACGUAUAUAUAUCACAUAGAAAACAAGCUAUGAUUAAAAUUAAUAAACACCAUUUAUCUCUAUGUGUUUUUUAUCUGAAGAAGUCAUUUGAAAUUUUUUUUCUCGUCCUUCUGUAUGAGUUUUAUUGUCAUUUACAUGAACAAAAAGUGAAAGAAUCUUGAAUUAACGUUGGCCCCCCACUUUUCUGUGACCCUGUAAAAAUUGAAUUGAAACAAGGAAAUAAACAGUGAAAUUGAAGU